AGAGUUUGAUCCUGGCUCAGGAUGAACGCUAGCUACAGGCUUAACACAUGCAAGUCGAGGGGCAGCAUGAUCUUAGCUUGCUAAGAUUGAUGGCGACCGGCGCACGGGUGAGUAACGCGUAUCCAACCUACCUCAUAGUAGGGAAUAGCCCGGAGAAAUCCGGAUUAAUGCCCUAUGUGGUCCUAUGCAGACAUCUAAAUGGGACCAAAGGUUUACCGCUAUGUGAUGGGGAUGCGUCUGAUUAGGUUGUUGGCGGGGUAACGGCCCACCAAGCCUGCGAUCAGUAGGGGUUCUGAGAGGAAGGUCCCCCACAUUGGAACUGAGACACGGUCCAAACUCCUACGGGAGGCAGCAGUGAGGAAUAUUGGUCAAUGGGCGCGAGCCUGAACCAGCCAAGUAGCGUGAGGGAAGACUGCCCUACGGGUUGUAAACCUCUUUUGUUCGGGAAUAAAGUGCGGCACGCGUGCCGUUUUGUAUGUACCGUUCGAAUAAGGACCGGCUAAUUCCGUGCCAGCAGCCGCGGUAAUACGGAAGGUCCAGGCGUUAUCCGGAUUUAUUGGGUUUAAAGGGAGCGCAGGCGGCCCGUUAAGCGUGACGUGAAAUGUAGUUGCUCAACAUCUGCACUGCGUCGCGAACUGGUGGGCUUGAGUUCACGGUAGGAAGGCGGAAUUCGUGGUGUAGCGGUGAAAUGCUUAGAUAUCACGAGGAACCCCGAUUGCGAAGGCAGCUUUCCGCAGUGUUACUGACGCUCAUGCUCGAAAGCGCGGGUAUCGAACAGGAUUAGAUACCCUGGUAGUCCGCGCGGUAAACGA
rnacentral:rRNA from 1 species